GCCAUCGAUUUCUCAGAUUUCCACUUCAGGAGGAGUUCGCCCCAGCCAUGAGCACCCAGAUCCGGUUUCUCUAGCAUUGUUGUCGAACCCCAGAUCAGAAGUUGCCGCCCCGCGGAUUCGAACGCUGGCUCUGGUUGUGGUCAGCAGCUCGGCGGCGAAGUCAAUGGAAGUGCACGAGCUGGGUUUCAGCGACGACCAGACUCUUCCCCGUCGAGGUCUGCGCAGUCUACUGACAGAAUCAACCCUCAGGCACCAGGGUGGACGUAAAGAUUAAAGCUGGGAAGUAUGCCACCGGACCGGACACCAUCCGCUUCGCGAAUGAGCACAAUGGACCAGUCGAUUCGCAAGUACGCGGAGGAGUCAACAAAAAGUGUGAUAAGGCCCGAACUAGGACUGAUAUUUGAUUCAUUGAGUGAAGCAUAUGACUUCUACAACCUGUAUCCAUGGGAGAUUGGCUUUGGCAUUAGAUACGGCAAGAGCCGAUUGAACGCACAGAGGACAAAAUGCAUGCAGGAGAUCGUUUGCAGAUGCUCGUGAACGUACAGGGCAAGUUGGAGGCAGAGAACAGUAGAUCAUGUAGAUGUGAGUGCCCAGCCUUGAUUAGGUUGCGAGCAGUAGACAACAGUUGGUACAUCACAGAGCACAUCGCAAGCGUGAAGAAAGCUAUGUAGAGAAAAGGACGAUGAUCGCAAGGUGGAGGUGUGCGGAGAACCAAUUUGGCAAUAGAAUAUCAUGCAAGUAAAAUAUACACGAGGGCCAUGUUUGAAGAAUUCAGUCGCCUAUUAAUUGAAGCACAUCAUACAAUGUCACAGAAAAGGAGAAGAUGAGGAAGUAUGUAACCGUUCACAACAAUGCAGCAAAAAGGGAAAAAUGAAGCAGGGUUCAGUAUGAGGUGAACAUAAAUGAAGACCAAACAGAGUACACGUGUGAAUGUGGUCAGUUCAAGCACACUGGAAUGUUGUGCAGCCAUGUUUUGAGGGUCAUGGAGAUACUUCAUAUGGAGGAGAAACCUGCCAAGCAUAUAUUGAAGCGGUGGACCAAAGACACGAGGGACAUACUUCCCCAACAUCUGGUUCAGUACCAGAAAGAUAAUCCAGUUAACAUGUCAUUCACAUGCAGACAUCCAACCCUUUUCCUGAAAGCAAUGGAGGUAGUGAGGCUGGGUGAUUCUAGUGCAGAAGCAUUUGAUCAUUUGAUCACAUAUUUGGUGGACUUGAAGCUCUCUUGGUGAGUGGCACACCUUUCGCGGGGAGAAGGUAUGGUCUGGGUUUUGAGGACAACAUGGGUGAAUUAGCUCCCGGCACAUUACCUGGCAAUGGAGAGAUUGCAUAUGUUGGCGCCGAACGUGUUGAUAAAGUCAACAGCACUGCAAACUCUGGGAGUGUCAAUGCUCUCCAUGGCCUAUCAGCUCCAGAUAAGCAAAGGGGGGUCAGUAAACUGACAAAUAGCAGGGAGAAGCCACCAUACGAGGGUCUGAGUAAGCGAGCCAGAUUCUGCAGCAUAUGUCGGCGUGCGGGGCACAAACGGACCACUUGCGCCGAAAGAGGAGAUGCACCGAAAAAGCCACGGAAGCCCGGGAGAUGUAAGAAGUGUGGUAUGGAAGGCCACCGCCGUACCACGUGCACAAGGUCUAAAAUGAUGUUCCAAGAGUAUGGGCGUUGUUGAAAACUGAAGUCUGAAAUUUAGAUUUGUAAUCUGUACUAAAAUGUCUUCAAAGGAUUUUCUAGUGUGCUUCUAUGAGCAUUGCUCCAUACUUGUUCCUCUAUUUCAUGAGGACUAUGAUGUUUGUUGUAAUAAGAAAUGGUCAGUUUUAAUAUGAUGUUCCUCGACGCUUUUCAG
rnacentral:rRNA from 1 species